AUCUCAAAGGAGCUGUCAACUGAAAGUAGGGCCCCAGCCUCGGUCAUCAAAAUGCUUCUCCUGCCCCCACCCGCAUGCAACUUGUCCAAAUGCAGGGAAAUCCAUUUGGAAACACAAGGAAUGAAGAAGAGAACAAGGGUGAGGGUGAGGGUUGGAGGAUGAGGAUGAAGAAUGAAGAAGAGGAUGUGGACUUCAACCCAUUUCUAAAGAUCCCCGUCUCUGGAAGCUUCUCUCAAGCUGAGCUCUGAGUUGAAAUUUGGAUGUUGAUGUUGCUGAAGACAACUGGAAACACAGGUAUAGCCUGCCUACUAAUUUGCCUUAAUGCUGUCCCGUCAGGUUGCAAGAUUAUGUCUAGGAGAUUCAGAGCAUUCAUGGUGAGGAGAUAGUGAUGCAAACUGCCCACUUCAUCUGGAGAAGAUGGUGAUGAAAAGGAAUCAAACGGACAUCCGCAUUAGAGCAAGGAAAAGGAGAACAGUUUUGGAUGUCUCAACUGGAAAAAUACAAUGUUUCAUAUAAAGGAGGAAUGGCUCAAGCAGGGACAGAUUUGUUAAAAUGUUUUAGGUUAGAGAUUAUAGACACAAUGUAGAAAGCCUAUUUUGGAUGUAGAUGAUGAGGAGCAUUGCAAGCGCACAAGAGCCGGAUUCACUGCAGUUUUACGCUUGACGAAAACUCGAAAAUUUGCUUCAAGAAACAGACGAUGAUGAUGGAUCUUCACAAUUGGCGACGAUGAAGAAGAGUACAGGAAAUUUCUUGCCGUGUUUUACAGGGUGGAGAUGGUGUUGAUGAUAGUCAGAUUAGACAAGGAAAUUGAAAAUGCCCGACGAUGUUGUGAUGAUGAAGAAAAUGAGCAGAUUUGAGGGAUAGAAAUUGAAGAAAGAAGCGCUUGGGAGUGACCUUGAUGAAAAAACACAAGGGGUGAUACGAUCAAAAGCAUUGAGCAGCUGGUCGACGCCUGGGACAGGCAAAAAGAUACCAAAAAGCUUCUGCCCGCAGAAAAAGAGGUUUUGAGCCAGGCAAAUAGGACCACUGCGCCGCCUUACCAAAUGCACCAAUUUCAUCUUUCCCUUGUGGGAAUACCUGAGCACUGCCCCACACUUUGUGCUUUGUCAGACAUGAUACUUUUAAACAUGGAUUUACUCACACAGCUCGGCCAGUUACCUUGAUUUAUACAGAGCAUGUCAACUCUUAUUCAGGUGUUCUUCUUUGUGUUCUUGAGCCUUCUCGACAGAACAUUGCAUCCAAUUUCGGGAAUUGAUUUCAGAGAGCUACAAACGAGAUCAAGGAGUAUCAUGGAGAAGGGACACAUAUCCAUGGUUUUUGCUUUUUCCCACAAGUACAUUCAUCAUCAGUGCGGCAUGAAGUUUCAGGAUCUUUGACAGCCCUGCUCGUUCUGAGGUCAGCUUUUCCUCGAUGACAUAGAAUGGCUCAUCUGGAACUAAUAAUGGGCCACUUUCUGAGGUAUUUGCUCUUCUGAAAGAAGAUGCUAAUUAUAAUGCUUCUAAUGGACAGGAGGGUCCUUUUCAAGCUCUGAUAGCUCUUUGUGGGUGCCAUUUGUAAUGGUCCCAUCUAUCUGUUCUUGAUGUAUCUCCACUUAAUAUAGUUGGGAAAAUACAAUGGAUGAUGUUUCUAUUGGAUGUCAUGUAGAAAGAAGUAAAUUCUUGCAGUUUCUGCUGAGUUAUUUGCCAUUCGGCUCAUCCCCAUUGUGGGAACUAUUGACAGGCUAUGCAAGAGCUCAGAGGGCAUACAUAGAAGCUGCUUGUGUGAUACUGAUUUAAAAAGGAACCACUUUUCCCUUCCACAGUUCUAGUCCUUUCUGAAGCUAAUGCAGAAGUUCUAGAUAGACCACUCCACCAACUGCGAAGGUGCCCUCAUAUCCACUGGCGAUCAACUACUGUCCCAAAAGACAUUGGCUGCUGCACUCGUUGAGAGUACCAAGAAUCAAACCACGUUGCUGCUAGUGUCAAAGGAAAUUUCCAGUUAGCUCAUAGAUUCGUGCCACUGUUUAAUCGCAGCCUGUUUUCCGCAUAAACAACCAACCACCAGCACCUGUUUGCAAUCCGGGUGCUUUUCACGGAUGCAGAGAUGCGUAAGGUUCAUUCUUCAUUCCCUGUAUUGUAUACCGAUAUGUGGUUGUAUAUUCAUUUUAACAAGCUGCCAUACUGCUUAUUCCUGUUGACUUUAUCACGAACUAGUUGUUGAUGAAAAUCCUAGUAGGUCUCAUUCAUAUAAGUUUCUUUGCUAAAUUUGAGAAUAGAUUGCUGCGUGCUUUUUUUCUUUUCUUUUUAUAAUUAUGUUAUUGCUACCCUCAUAAUUCACGACUUGUAAUGUACGUUAUGCUUUAUGCUGCAGUCGUUGCGAUAUAAAAUGUUUUACAUUGGAAAUAUUAUUUUAUUGAAAUUUGGUUGACUUGAAAAGUUACAAUAUCUCAUUUUUCGGUUUUAGGUUUAUGCUUUGAAAAUAAGUUGUCACUAAUGAAAAACUGAAUAAAUAAGUUUUACAAAUUAACUAACGUGAUGUGCUAAAUACUAGGUGGCCGUGUGGCCACAUUUUAAGAAAAAAAAAAAAAAAAAAAAAAAUUAAAAAAAAACGAAAGGAUAUAGGCAUGUAUAUAAGAAAACAAACACACAGAUGUGUGUAUAUAUUUAUAUACGGAGUUCAAACAAUGUUUGUAGCUUGGGGAUUUUGUAAGGCCGGCUUCAUUUUUUUACUGUAACUGUAUAAAUGGACGGUAAUUUACUUUCUACCUUUUUUCUAGAUCGGGGGUUGUUAAAUGCUACUCCCUCCCCUCCGUCUCCUUUGUUUCUCCCUUUUCGGGGAUCCAACUUUUUAAGAAACUUUUUAAUUUUUCUAAUUUGCCCUUCAAUAUAUAUUCAUUUCAUGUGUGGAAUUGAACUUUCUAUAUGUGACUCUUCAUUUUUUUAGAAAGUAAUGAAGUUUGUUAAACUUUCAAUGAAUUUAUUGUUCCUUUGUCUUUAUCUAGUUUUGUUAUUUAUUGUACUUUGUUGGAACUUAGAGCUUUAAUUUCGUUAUUUGAAUCUAAGGGAAAGGUAAAAGAGGAGAGCAGAACAAUUAUUUAGGGACAACCAAAAAAGGAAUAGUGGAUAAUUAAAAGUGGGGACGGAUGGAGUAUUAUUUUAUCACAUUUAGUGUAAAUUAUGCGGGGAAAUCAAUUGUAAGACCUGUUUAAAGGUGUUGCGCUCAACCUCUUCAGUUGAGGAUUACAGGGAUAUUUUGUUUGGGUAAUGCUGGAAACUAUUGUUUAUCUGUCCUUUACAAAACUCUCAAAAAGUUCCUUUUUUGUUGUGUUUCUUUCAAUGUGGAUCAAUCACAAACAAAAUCAAAGGAGAGCUCCAUACGAGACUAUCAUCCGAAAACGAGUCAACACACAUUAUUUGUUGAAAAUUUGAAAUUAACCAUGUCUCGUAUCAUUAAUUGGGUUGAGGAGCAAAUCAAUCCUCUUAUUCGAAUGAGGCAGAUGGGUCUGUGUUCGUCAAAUCUAGGUUGGCUGGGUCGGAGGGGAUUUGGGUUGGAUGGUCAUCUAGGCAGUGUUCUAAAAAGCGCUAGGCGGUAAGCGGGCGGGCGGGAGUGUCUAGCUCCUAAGCAGGGCCUAGGCAGAUUUUUUAUUAUUUAUUUAUUUAUUUAGAGAAUUAAUAUUUACUAAAAAAAUUAAUAAAUGACCAAAUAUAAAAUUUUAACAAAGAAAUGAUAUCAAAAUAGUAAAGUUCAACACCUUGUUUAAUGUUGAAUAAUACGUAAGAGGAAGAUAUAAAUGACCAUUUCGUUUCUCUGAAAUCAUAGAAAUUUAGAAAAUAGAUCUAUAACUCUUCUUCUUUCGCCGUAGCCUCAAAGACUCUCUUUCAAUCAUACCCCCUUUUCCAAAAUCUACUUCUCAUUUCCCUCCUCUUUUGUUUCUUGAUCCGAUAGAAAAUUUUCUUCAUGAAGUUCUCUUACUUCAAAAUUUCUAGGGCCAGGGGGGCCUAGCGCCAGAGUGCCACCUAGGCGGUCGCCUAGACCGCUUUUUAGAACACUGCAUCUAGGUUGGGAUGGGUUUGGGUUUGUCGUCACCUGGGUCUAGGUCGGCCGAGUAUGGGUUCGUCAAAUAUAGGUUGGAUAGGUUUGGGUUUGGGUCGGAGUGGACCUGGGUUGGUCGAUCGGAAGUGUUUUAUGAGGUCUGGGUCGAUCGGAGUUGUUGGAGUCUAGGCCAAUCAAGGUUGGUAGGGUUGUCCGGACUAGGUCAAUAUUGUCAGCAAGAUUUGGAUCGGUUGGAGUUGAAGGUGAUUUGCUGAGAAGAGUGGAACAGCAGCGGCUGCUCAAGCUUAUCUGAUACCAUGUUGCUAGAAAGUGUUAUUAGGGUAGAGAGAGAGAGCCUAAUAUCGUAACUCAUUAUACAUAAUUCCUAACAAGUUCAUUUCAUCAUAAUAUUAUCUGCAAACAUUUUUUAGUUUUGGAAAAUUAAUUUUCUAGAAAAGGAAUUAAAUUUUCCUUUUCCAUUCUCUUGUGGAUUUCACCUUAUAGUUUUCUAAUGAAUGCCUUCUUAUGAAGUCAUGUGGAAUGAUUUUGUAUUUAGUGCUCCGAGGAAUAAUGAUUUACUUGUAUUCGAUAUUGAUAAUCCGUCAAAUAGUAAAUAUGCCUUCACCUUAGUGGAAACAUAGUUUGAGAGUGAAGAAGUUUUGAGCCCAAUAUCUGGAAAUUUAUCUGGUUUUCAGCUAUAAAUUUAAAGUUAUGGCGUUCUAGUUUUGUAGCGAUCAAAGGAGUCAGCCGUAGCCAGCUAUAUAUGCCUCGGGAUUUAAGGGAAUUAACUCUCUUUCUGGGACUAGCGGGAUAAAUCUUUUUUAGAGUAUUUAUGGCAAUAAUUCCUCUUUACUUAUUGGGUUUGCAGUAUUAAUAUUCUUUAUAGGUUAGUCCCUUGUUGGAUGUCAAUUUCCCUAAUUGCUUCCCGGGCAAGAAUUAUGGGUUAUUCAAUCUAUAACUUUCAUUUACCACAAACUGUGUGUGAAGUU
rnacentral:lncRNA from 1 species